UAACCAUAAACGAUGCCGACCAGCGAUUAGGAGCCGUUGAAUACAAAACACCACCAUCGGCGCGGUCGUCCUUGGCGUCGGUCUUUCGGGGCCGGCGCGGGGGCGGCUUAGCCCGGUGGCACCGGUGAAUGACUCCCCGGGCACCUUGUGAGAAAUCAUAAGUGUUUGGGUUUUGGGGGGAGUAUGGUCGCAAGGCUGAAACUUAAAGGAAUUGACGGAAGGGCACCACCAGGAGUGGAACCUGCGGCUUAAUUUGACUCAACACGGGGAAACUUACGAGGUCAGGACACUGUGAGGAUUGACAGAUUGAAAGCUCUUUCUUGAUUCAGUGGGUGGUGGUGCAUGGCCGUUCUUAGUUGGUGGAGUGAUUUGUCUGGUUAAUUCCGUUAACGAACGAGACCUUAACCUGCUAAAUAUGCCGCGCUAACCCGUCCAUCAAAACCCAUGCGUGGCUCACGCGGUCCGCUGCGGGGUGGUGUCGCUUCGCGGCGACGUCAUCCCGCCGGCAGGGCCCGGGUCCGUGUGGGCGGUAGGGUUCGGCGUCCGUGCUUCUUAGAGGGACUGCUGCGCGCCUACCCAGCGGAAGUGUGAGGCAAUAACAGGUCUGUGAUGCUCAUAGAAAGGGCGGAACUCG
rnacentral:rRNA from 1 species